GUACAUGCCUAUAACAAAGCGUUAAUGCAUUGGAUCCCAUUAGAACUCUGCAGUUAAGCGCGCUUGAGCUAGAGUAAUAUUGGGAUGGGUGAUCGCUCGAAAAUGCCUAGUGUUUUACAUG
rfam:Picea glauca, whole genome shotgun sequence.